GGAAGUAUUGGACUCCGGAAAUUCCAAAGAGCUUGAAAAUCUUCUCGAAAGGUAAAAUUUUCAGUUUUUAUUCAUGGAUGAUUAUGAAAUAACAUUUAAGUAAAUUCUACUUUCUUAAUAACUUACUUUUUAUGUCAUUUAUUAGAUUUGUCCUUUGAUGAAUUAAUCUACAAAAACUAUUGAUCAGAGCUCGCAUGCAGCAGUUGAAAUCUAUUGAUAGUGAUAAAAACGGUAAAUAUUCUUUCUGUCGACAAACAGCCUCUGCAUGCCAUGUUGCGCAUUGAAAUUAGGCGUCUGUAGUAUACAGUGGCAUGGCAUCCGUAAGUUUGCAGUGUUCAUCAAACACUCUACAGUAUUUUGGAUCACGUAAAAGUAUAACUUACAAUGAAGGAACCAGCAAAAAAUGAUAAUUGUUAGUAUUUAUCUUGGAUAUUCAGCAGAAUCUUUGCUGUGACUGUACUAAGUAUGUAAUGGGUAACAAGUGAAAAUCUAGCAACAUCGAAAGGUCUGACUGCAGAAAAUGCUAUAGUUUAUUUCCUCUUGAUACUAAAAACUAAGACUUAACACCAUCUUGGCAUUCCUUUUAUUUAAAUGUUACAUUUGUAUGGGUGCAUCAAUCGAAAUUAGCGUUAAAAAUUCUCUAGGAAGUAAAGUAAUCUUAAAUUUUACCAGCUGUGAUUACGUAAACAUAAGUAAUAUUUUUCAGUCUGCUGAGGCCUGCAAAUUGGAGACAUUCAAAUAUUCCUGGUCUGAACUGAAGAAAAUACCAAAAGAUAAAAGACGGGAGAGCAGAAAAGGAUUGAUGAUUGGUCUUGAUAAAGAAAAGUAUAUGAAGGCGAAAAAGAUACGAGACAACUUUGUAUUUGGUACUAACAGCAUUAUUAGAAGUUUAGAAAGAGGGAAAAUUCUAUGUGGAAUAGUGUCUCCAGAUUUUGAUCCUGCAAUGGUUACGGAUCACAUUAUUUCAGUCUCAAAACAAAGAGGAAUUCCAGUGGUUCUUCUCCCUGAGCUGAAUUCUAUUUGUAAACGUUGUCUAGGAUUCCCUGUUAAAGCCCUAGGAUUAAAGAAAAGCGAUUCAAUUAUAAGUGACGAUGGUUACACAAAUUUAAAAAAUCAAAUUCUGGCUUUAAGUGAUCUCCCUGAUGAAGACUUGAAGCGAAUUAAUUCUUCCAAGUCACCUCCUUCUCAUUCCAAAUCAAAGUUGCGACAUCCUAAACCCAUCACACCCACUCCCAGAGACCUAAUUCUAAAAAGGCCAAACAAAAGCAGUAGAUGUUUUGUGCCAGGAGGCUCCUCAGUAGAAGUCAGCAUGGAUAACUCAGAUUUCAUUUCAUUUGGAACUACCACAGCAAGUAAAGUCCUCUUACCGGCAUCUAAGACUACUUGCUCAGAAACAGACGACGAUAGCGAUUCUGAUUCUUAUGUUGAAGCACCACCCACAAAACUGAAACCAUACAGACCCAUGUUCCAGACUUUGAAACUUAAAAAAUAA
rnacentral:lncRNA from 1 species